rnacentral:rRNA from 1 species
AACACAUGCAAGUCGAACGAGAAAGCGGGGGCAACUCCGCGAGUAAAGUGGCGACCGGGUGAGUAACACGUGACUAACCUGCCCUCGAGCGGGGGAUAACCCCGGGAAACCGGGGCUAUUACCGCAUAACAUCUUCGAUAUGAAAGUAUUGAGGAUCAAAGGAGCAAUUCACUUGAGGAGGGGGUCGCGGCCGAUUAGCUAGUUGGCGGGGUAACGGCCCACCAAGGCUGAGAUCGGUAGCCGGCCUGAGAGGGCGCACGGCCACACUGGAACUGAAACACGGUCCAGACUCCUACGGGAGGCAGCAGUGGGGAAUUUUGCGCAAUGGGGGGAACCCUGACGCAGCAACGCCGCGUGGAGGAUGAAGUCCCUUGGGACGUAAACUCCUUUCGACCGGGAAGAUAAUGACGGUACCGGAAGAAGAAGCACCGGCUAACUCUGUGCCAGCAGCCGCGGUAAUACAGAGGGUGCGAGCGUNGUUCGGAAUUAUUGGGCGUAAAGGGCGCGUA